AUCUUUAUGGGUCCCUGGUUAGGCCACAGUGUUCUCACCGCUGCGGCCUGGGUUCAAUUCCCGGCCGGGGAA